rnacentral:rRNA from 1 species
CCUACGGGUGGCAGCAGUAGGGAAUCUUCCACAAUGGACGAGAGUCUGAUGCAGCAACGCAGCGUGAGUGAUGACUGGUCUCUGGUUGUAAAGCUUUGUUGGUAUGGAAGAAAGAUAGAGUAUGUAAAUGGUCUUGUUUUGACGGUAAUAAUAUAGAACGUCUCGGCUAACUACGUGACAGCAGCUGCGGUAGUACGUAGGUGGCUAGUGUUGUCCGGAUUUAUUGGGUGUAAAGGGAGUGUAGGUGGUUUGUUAAGUCUGAUGUGAAAGGUUGCGGCUCAACCGUAGAAUUGCAUUUGAAACUGUUAGACUUGAGUGCAGUAGAGGUGAGCGGAACUCGUGGUGUAGCGGUGGAAUGCGUAGAUAUCAGGAAGAACACCAGUGGCGAAGGCAGCUCACUGGACUGCAACUGACGCUGAGGCUCGAAAGUGUGGGUAGCAAACAGGAUUAGAUACCCCAGUAGUC